rnacentral:rRNA from 1 species
UACGAAGGGGGCUAGCGUUGCUCGGAAUCACUGGGCGUAAAGCGCACGUAGGCGGCUUUUUAAGUCAGAGGUGAAAUCCUGGAGCUCAACUCCAGAACUGCCUUUGAUACUGGAGAGCUUGAGUCCGGGAGAGGUGAGUGGAACUGCGAGUGUAGAGGUGAAAUUCGUAGAUAUUCGCAAGAACACCAGUGGCGAAGGCGCUCACUGGCCCGGUACUGACGCUGAGGCACGAAGGCCAGGGGAGCGAACGGG